GGUUAAUGCCAUCUUCUGUGCUGGCCCUUUCCAAGAAGGCACCAUCACCAGCACAGGGAUUAUGCCUCUAUCAGGGGAUAAACCCCACUCAGCCCCGUAGCCCUUCCUUCCAGCGUCUAGCUCUGAGAUGUCUUUACUGAUGGGGAAUUAAGCCUGAGCCUCCAGAGAUGCUGACCUCCAGGUUCCAGGCUGUGGUUUUGCCAUUUACGCUGGAUCCCAGGUACUGGAGUGAUCUUGGAUUCUUAGCUUUUAAGUCCAGGCUCUGUGUAGUUCGUGGUUCUUAGGUAUGCUUUCUUCCAAGCUUCCAGUUGUAGGUUUCUUUAAAAUACAGUUCCAAAUGUCUGGGCUUUCUCAGACAGAAAUGCAGAACACUGACUUUCUGGCUGCUGAUCAGACUCCUUAGGACUCAGGACUGGUCCCCAGGCAGGAAAGAAAAGGCAAGUGCCAACGAGGAUGGCGCUGGUGCUGCCUUAGGGCAAGCCAGGCCUGCUGAUUUCCCACCAGGUAAGCCUGGGGGCUGGGUCCCCCACCCCACAGCGUACUUAGCAGCUGAGCUGCCUGAGCUGGAGGUGCUCCAGUCCGAAGAGGGGGCUCCAAGCUCUCCAGGCUGUUGAGGCUGCUGCUGGGCAAUUCCAAGGUCUGGACCUCAUUACACGCACCUAGUAAGGCAGGGGUGGAAGGCAUGUGGCUGCUGGGGGACUGCUGAAGCCAGAUCAGUGAUGAGCUUCAGCUUAAAGUAGUGAGCUAGGGGAUCACUUAAAGGGGCAUUUAAAGUAGUGAGCUAGGGCAGAAAGAGCCUGGAGUUGAGAAGGGGGCGUGACUCACAGCAACAGGGAGGCCUUCUGUGGACUUGAGUCUUGGGCAGGGGCUGCUGCAAUAAACACAGCAGGGCCCCAUCUAGCCGCUGGAAGAUGUUGAGCAUGAGCAGAGUCUGGCGAGUUUCAGGCGACAGGCCCCACCGCUCUUCUUCCAGCAACUCCCGGACCACUCCAAAAUCUUGUCUGAGCUGCAGUGCUCCCUGCAGGCUGAAGGCCAAGGUACAAUGCAGUCACCUGACCUUGUGGUCUCCCUAAACUACUCUGCCACACCCAUCUGCUCCCCUUUUCCAGUUCCAUUCAUUCCCCUGCCGCUACCUUCGUUUUUCCCCACCUGAAUCUAAUCCUGUGGGUGAGGAUGUGGUCAAGCCAGGCACCCAGAAUGGUUGUCAACACCUGGCCAAGGACAGGGAUCUGGGCUGGGGGUGGCAACCCCUGCAAUCCUUGCAACACAGGCUCCAGUACAGUGUGGACCACCAACCGAGCAUACUCACUGGGAAUGCUGGGGAGUUCUGGAGUGACAGAAGAGAAGGGGCAGGAUGUAAGAAUACUGAGAUCCACUGAGCACCUAAUGGAGUGACUGGGAACCCCCUUCUUCCUCUGUCAACUGAUAUUGGUAAGGAACCUGUGCACUCAAGACUCAGGAAGCGUGAGGUCACAUGACGGGACGUCACAGUGCUGUACGUGGUGGAAUGCCCAGAGCAGAUGCCUAACAGUGCAGUCACCAGACAGAGGGGCAAGGCAUCAGGAUGCUUUGCACAGUGUUUGGUUCACAUGAGAGAGAGGAAGGGAGGGAAAGAGAGAAACAUUGAAUGGCUGCCUUCCACAUGCGCCCCAAACUGGUGAUCGAACCUGCAGUCAAGGCGACGUGCCCUGACCCAGAAUGGAGCCUGCAGCCUACGGGACACCGCUCCCACCACGCCAUGCCAGCCAUGGCUGUAUUCUAUGUCACUUUUAAACUAUGGACAUGUAUUACCUUAAUAAAAAUACAAAUGACAUGUUCAAGGAAGAGGAGAAACAUUGUAUGAAAAACUAGUAAAAAAAAAGGAUUCAACUUUU